GAAAGCAGUAGCCACGGGAAUACAGAGGGUGCAAGCGUUAAUCGGAAUUACUGGGCGUAAAGCGCGCGUAGGUGGUUUGUUAAGUUGGAUGUGAAAUCCCCGGGCUCAACCUGGGAACUGCAUCCAAAACUGGCAAGCUAGAGUAUGGUAGAGGGUGGUGGAAUUUCCUGUGUAGCGGUGAAAUGCGUAGAUAUAGGAAGGAACACCAGUGGCGAAGGCGACCACCUGGACUGAUACUGACACUGAGGUGCGAAAGCGUGGGGAGCAAACAGGAUUAGAUACCCGCGUAGUCCCUGUCUCUUAUAA
rnacentral:rRNA from 1 species